rnacentral:rRNA from 1 species
CCUACGGGUGACAGCAGUCGAGAAUCAUUCACAAUGGGGGAAAGCCUGAUGGUGCGACGCCGCGUGGGGGAAUGAAGGUCUUCGGAUUGUAAACUCCUGUCAUGUGGGAGCAAAUUAAAAAGAUAGAACCACAAGCGGAAGCGACGGCUAACUCUGGGCCAGCAGUCGCGGUUAUAGAGAUGUCUCAAGCCUUGUUCGGAAUCACUGGGCGUAAAGCGUGCGUAGGCUGUUUCGUAAGUCGUGUGUGAAAGGCGCGGGCUCAACCCGCAGACGGCACAUGAUACUGCGAGACUAGAGUAAUGGAGGGGGAACCGGAAUUCUCGGUGUAGCAGUGAAAUGCGUAGAUAUCGAGAGGAACACUCGUGGCGAAGGCGGGUUCCUGGACAUUAACUGACGCUGAGGCACGAAGGCCAGGGGAGCGAAAGGGAUUAGAUACCCGGGUAGUC